AUUGAACGCUGGCGGCAGGCCUAACACAUGCAAGUCGAGCGGAUGAAGGGAGCUUGCUCCUGGAUUCAGCGGCGAACGGGUGAGUAAUGCCUAGGAAUCUGCCUGGUAGUGGGGGAUAACGUCCGGAAACGGGCGCUAAUACCGCAUACGUCCUGAGGGAGAAAGUGGGGGAUCUUCGGACCUCACGCUAUCAGAUGAGCCUAGGUCGGAUUAGCUAGUUGGUGGGGUAAAGGCCUACCAAGGCGACGGUCCGUAACUGGUCUGAGAGGAUGAUCAGUCACACUGGAACUGAGACACGGUCCAGACUCCUACGGGAGGCAGCAGUGGGGAAUAUUGGACAAUGGGCGAAAGCCUGAUCCAGCCAUGCCGCGUGUGUGAAGAAGGUCUUCGGAUUGUAAAGCACUUUAAGUUGGGAGGAAGGGCAGUAAGUUAAUACCUUGCUGUUUUGACGUUACCAACAGAAUAAGCACCGGCUAACUUCGUG
rnacentral:rRNA from 1 species